rnacentral:rRNA from 1 species
UGAGGAAUAUUGCACAAUGGGCGCAAGCCUGAUGCAGCGACGCCGCGUGUGGGAUGAAGGGGCUACGCCUCGUAAACCACUGUAGCCCGGGACGAAAAACGCCUUAGAGGCGUUAGACGGUACCGGGAAAGUAAGGGUCGGCUAACUACGUGCCAGCAGCCGCGGUAAUACGUAGGACCCAAGCGUUGUCCGGAUUUACUGGGCGUAAAGCGCGUGCAGGCGGAUUGGAGAGUUGGAUGUGAAAGCUCCCGGCUUAACUGGGAGAGGUCGUUCAAUACUUCCAGUCUUGAGUGCAGUAGAGGGAAGUGGAGUUCCGGGUGUAGUGGUGAAAUGCGUAGAUAUCCGGAGGAACACCAGUGGCGAAAGCGGCUUCCUGGACUGUAACUGACGCUCAGACGCGAAAGCUAGGGUAGCAAACG